UUGCUGGCUUCAGCAUCAUAUAAACUAAAAUGGAAACACUUCAGAGAUUAACAUGGCCCCUGUAUGAUUUGUAAAUUUGUGAAACAUUUCAAAAACUU
rnacentral:snRNA from 1 species